GGGAAAUUAGCUCAAAUGGUAGAGUGCUCACUUAGCAUGUGAGAGCUAGCGGGCUAGAUUCCAGCAUCCUCCA
rnacentral:tRNA from 1 species